GGCGAACGCUGGCGGCGUGCCUAAUACAUGCAAGUAGAACGCACAGUUUAUACCGUAGCUUGCUACACCAUAAACUGUGAGUUGCGAACGGGUGAGUAACGCGUAGGUAACCUGCCUGGUAGCGGGGGAUAACUAUUGGAAACGAUAGCUAAUACCGCAUAAUAUUGAUUAUUGCAUGAUAAUUGAUUGAAAGAUGCUAUUGCAUCACUACCAGAUGGACCUGCGUUGUAUUAGCUAGUAGGUGAGGUAACGGCUCACCUAGGCGACGAUACAUAGCCGACCUGGGAGGGUGAUCGGCCACACUGGGACUGAGACACGGCCCAGACUCCUACGGGAGGCAGCAGUAGGGAAUCUUCGGCAAUGGACGAAAGUCUGACCGAGCAACGCCGCGUGAGUGAAGAAGGUUUUCGGAUCGUAAAGCUCUGUUGUAAGAGAAGAACGGGUGUGAGAGUGGAAAGUUCACACUGUGACGGUAUCUGACCAGAAAGGGACGGCUAACUACGUG
rnacentral:rRNA from 1 species